CGAUGGUGGAGGUAUUGGCGCGUCUCAAUUGAAGGACGUGGUUGAAUACGACGGGAAGGUGGAGCCAUGUAAUUCGAUUGAGCCGCGUCAAUAUCUCCUUUUCUUGA
rnacentral:pre_miRNA from 1 species